rnacentral:rRNA from 1 species
UGGGGAAUAUUGCACAAUGGGCGAAAGCCUGAUGCAGCAACGCCGCGUGAGUGAUGAAGGCCUUCGGGUUGUAAAGCUCUGUCUUUUGGGACGAUAAUGACGGUACCAAAGGAGGAAGCCACGGCUAACUACGUGCCAGCAGCCGCGGUAAUACGUAGGUGGCAAGCGUUGUCCGGAUUUACUGGGCGUAAAGGAUGCGUAGGCGGAUUUUUAAGUGAGAUGUGAAAUACCCGGGCUUAACUUGGGUGCUGCAUUUCAAACUGGGAAUCUAGAGUGCGGGAGAGGAGAAUGGAAUUCCUAGUGUAGCGGUGAAAUGCGUAGAGAUUAGGAAGAACACCAGUGGCGAAGGCGAUUCUCUGGACCGUAACUGACGCUGAGGCAUGAAAGCGUGGGUAGCAAACAGGAUUAGAUACCCUGGUAGUCCACGCCGUAAACGAUGAGUACUAGGUGUAGGAGGUAUCGACCCCUUCUGUGCCGCAGUUAACACAAUCAAGUACUCCGCCUGGGAAGUACGAUCGCAAGAUU